rnacentral:lncRNA from 1 species
UAACAGUCCACAAGUCAGUGCCUUAUUUUCAGAGGGUGAUUGGGGUUUGCUGUAGGGUAAGGGCAACUGCCCAUCUGUAGAGCUUCCCAGGUGUUUGGGGUGGGAUGAGAGUGAGGGGGAGCGAUGGUUAAGAGGUAACCUGCCUUCCUUGUUGCGCCAGAUGGCAGGGCUGUCUCCCAGGGAUUUUCCCAGCAGUCUCUGUGGAAGGCUCUUCCCCUGGAAGUUACAAGUAGCAUGAUGUGGUGUGUGUGGGAGAGGCAGUGCCGAGGCUGAUGAAGAGCUGCCGACCGCCUGCAGGCCUAGAGGGGGCCAUUUCUGUGUUGCUGUGUAGUCGCAGGGUGAUCGAGGGAGAACGGAUGACAGAUGGGAGCUGGGCUUCCUCCCUGCCGUGGUCUGCUGGUUUGCCCAUCACUCAUACCCCCUGAUGGACUACCUCCUUCCACAAAGGGCCCAGAUGACUGUCCCUGACCGGGGCUUAUGGUUGCCUGAAGGCUCGAUUUCAAACCAAGGUCUCUGCUCACCUUGGAGCCUUCAAUGUCUCUGGCUGGGAGGAGAGGUGCUGACCAAGCAGCUGUUCAUCAUAACAAGGUGGGUUAUCAGCCCCUGUUUCUCAAGUAAUUCUUCCCCACCAUGAAGCUUUUAUGUUUAUAGUAAGUGUUUACUGUGACUGCUCCUUUGCCAUCAGGACAAUGAAACCUGCUCUCAUUUUUCUGGGAGGUAAAACAGAGGUAGAGAGAGUUGAAAUGCUUUGCCCAGAAGCCCUGCAAGCAGAAUACUGGAACUAAAAUUCCCAAGCCUGGACUCUCGAGUUUAUUGCUUACCUUCUUGGAGUCAUGUUUCUCUUCCCCCAUAGCUCAAUUAAAAACAAAAUAAAACAAAACAAAAAGCAAUGUUGCCUGAACAGAAAAGCACAGAGCCAGUUAGGAC